ensembl:piRNA 21ur-2560 ncRNA
UCACAUGCUUGGACUCGAUAG